rnacentral:rRNA from 1 species
GACAGAGGAUGCAAGCGUUAUCGGGAAUGAUGGGGCGUAAAGCGUUUGUGGGGGGCUUUUUAAGUCCGCCGUCAAAUCCCAGGGCUCAACCCUGGACAGGCGGUGGAAACUACCAAGCUGGAGUACGGUAGGGGCAGGGGGAAUUUCCGGUGGAGCGGUGAAAUGCGUAGAGAUCGGAAAGAACACCAACGGCGAAAGCACUCUGCUGGGCCGACACUGACACUGAGAGACGAAAGCUAGGGGAGCGAAUGGG